rnacentral:rRNA from 1 species
GAUGAACGCUGGCGGCGUGCCUAAUACAUGCAAGUCGAGCGAAUGGAUUAAGAGCCUGCUCUUAUGAAGUUAGCGGCGGACGGGUGAGUAACACGUGGUAACCUGCCCAUAAGACUGGGAUAACUCCGGGAAACCGGGGCUAAUACCGGAUAACAUUUUGAACCGCAUGGUUCGAAAUUGAAAGGCGGCUUCGGCUGUCACUUAUGGAUGGACCCGCGUCGCAUUAGCUAGUUGGUGAGGUAACGGCUCACCAAGGCAACGAUGCGUAGCCGACCUGAGAGGGUGAUCGGCCACACUGGGACUGAGACACGGCCCAGACUCCUACGGGAGGCAGCAGUAGGGAAUCUUCCGCAAUGGACGAAAGUCUGACGGAGCAACGCCGCGUGAGUGAUGAAGGCUUUCGGGUCGUAAAACUCUGUUGUUAGGGAAGAACAAGUGCUAGUUGAAUAAGCUGGCACCUUGACGGUACCUAACCAGAAAGCCACGGCUAACUACGUGCCAGCCGCCGCUGUAA